UACGUAGGGCGCGAGCGUUGUCCGGAAUUAUUGGGCGUAAAGAGCUCGUAGGCGGCCUGUUACGUCCGCUGUGAAAACCCAGGGCUUAACCCUGGGCUUGCAGUGGAUACGGGCAGACUAGAGGCAGGUAGGGGAGAAUGGAAUUCCCGGUGUAGCGGUGAAAUGCGCAGAUAUCGGGAGGAACACCGGUGGCGAAGGCGGUUCUCUGGGCCUGACCUGACGCUGAGGAGCGAAAGCGUGGGGAGCGAACAGG
rnacentral:rRNA from 1 species